rnacentral:rRNA from 1 species
GAUGAACGCUGGCGGCGUGCCUAACACAUGCAAGUCGAGGGAUUCUCUUCGGAGAAGAGCGGCGGACGGGUGAGUAACGCGUGGGUAACCUGCCCUGUACACACGGAUAACAUACCGAAAGGUAUGCUAAUACGAGAUAAUAUGCUUUUAUCGCAUGGUAGAAGUAUCAAAGCUUUUGCGGUACAGGAUGGACCCGCGUCUGAUUAGCUAGUUGGUAAGGUAACGGCUUACCAAGGCGACGAUCAGUAGCCGACCUGAGAGGGUGAUCGGCCACAUUGGAACUGAGACACGGUCCAAACUCCUACGGGAGGCAGCAGUGGGGAAUAUUGCACAAUGGGCGAAAGCCUGAUGCAGCAACGCCGCGUGAGCGAUGAAGGCCUUCGGGUCGUAAAGCUCUGUCCUCAGAAGAUAAUAGACGGUAC